GUGUUGAAAAUGUGCCUCCUGGA
rnacentral:piRNA from 1 species